rnacentral:snRNA from 1 species
UUGCUUGCUCCAGCAGCACAUAUACUAAAAUUGUGAUGAUGCAGAGAUUAGCACGGCCUCUGUGUGAAGAUGGCUUGCAAAUCUGUGAAAUGUUUCAUACUUUA